ensembl:lincRNA Gm5 predicted gene 5
GAGGAAAGACUUUCCAGAAGAAGCCCAGGCCAAGGAGAUUAAAGCUGAUAAACAGAGAUUGCCUGUGUUGAAUGCUGGCACUGAGAAGGAUUUCUCGAGGGAAUCCCAGGAAAGAUCUGAAAAGCUGCCUGGGGACCCCAGUUUGCUGGUAAAGAUAUCCUUGAGUUCAAUCAUGGUUCCGGGGGCUCCAGAUGCAGCCUUUCCAAGCAGCAUGGAUUUGCAGUGUCACAGCUGUGCCUGGGCUUGUGAAGGCACUGAGAACAAAAGUACAGAGUCCCGGCUUUCACCACGGCUGAAGGGGACACCCAGUAAGUCCAGGAAGAAGACUGCCUUCCGGUUGGAGUAUCUGUGGAACGGGUCUGAGAUGAGAAUGUCGAGCCCAAGAAGAAGAGCCCAGACUGAGAAGACUGAAGCAGGGGAGGCAUCCAGCAAAGCCCCACAGGAGAGAAGCAUCAAGAUGACCUGAUUUCACCACAAGCCUGGAUU